GACGAACGCUGGCGGCGUGCCUAAUACAUGCAAGUUGAGCGCUGAAGGUUGGUACUUGUACCGACUGGAUGAGCAGCGAACGGGUGAGUAACGCGUGGGGAAUCUGCCUUUGAGCGGGGGACAACAUUUGGAAACGAAUGCUAAUACCGCAUAAAAACUUUAAACAAAAGUUUUAAGUUUGAAAGAUGCAAUUGCAUCACUCAAAGAUGAUCCCGCGUUGUAUUAGCUAGUUGGUGAGGUAAAGGCUCACCAAGGCGAUGAUACAUAGCCGACCUGAGAGGGUGAUCGGCCAAAUUGGGACUGAGACACGGCCCAAACUCCUACGGGAGGCAGCCGUAGGGAAUCUUCGGCAAUGGACGAAAGUCUGACUGAGCAACGCCGCGUGAGUGAAGAAGGUUUUCGGAUCGUAAAACUCUGUUGGUAGAGAAGAACGUUGGUGAGAGUGGAAAGCGCAUCAAGUGACGGUAACUACCCAGAAAGGGACGGCUAACUACGUG
rnacentral:rRNA from 1 species